GUUUGUCAUCCUUCCUUUUUAAUUUUCCUCCUCUUCUCGGAGUGAAGGCCUUCCCCAACUUUUCGCGGGGUUGCAUAGGAGCGAGGAGGUGCCAAUGAGGGGCUUUUUCUUUUCACCCGAUCUUGUUGGGCGGCCGGGCUUCGCCACCAUCAGCUCUUGCUGCAGAUGUCAUGGGUGGAACCCGGCUCCCGUAGGAGUCCGGGUGGAAUCUUUCUUGGCGUCGUGGACGGAGCCCGGCUCCCGUAGGAGUCCGGGUGAAGUCUUCCUUGGCGUCGCGGAUGGAAUUUGGCUCCCGUAGGAGUCCGGGUGAAGUCUUCCUUGGCGUCGUGGAUGGAACCUGGCUCCCGUAGGAGUCCGGGUGAAGUCUUCCUUGGCGUCGUGGAUGAAAUCCGGCUCCCGUAGGAGUCUGGGUUAAGUCUUCCUUGGCGUCGUGGACGGAACCCAGCUCCCGUAGGAGUCCGGGUGAAGUCUUCCUUGGCACC
rnacentral:lncRNA from 1 species